CCCCUGGGGGUCUAGUGGUUAGGAUGUUGUGCUCUCACUGCCAUGGCCCGGGUUCGAUUCCCGGUCAGGGAA
rnacentral:tRNA from 1 species